AUGCUUUGGAGGUACAAAAAUAUACAUUGGAUUGAGACAGAGAAGAUUAGCAUGGCAUCUUUGAAAAGGAUGACAUACAAAUCCAUGAAAAUGUGGGUGUUAAU